GAAGACGAAAAAGAUAAGAAGGAACAAAGAUGGAGGCCGCCAUGAAGAGGGAUGGUAUAUGGGCGGCCUGAAGAUGGAGAAUGAUGAGAAGAAAUGGAUGGGGAGGAAGAGGAGGAGAUGGAGAAAUGGUUGGAGAAAGAGGAGGAGAAAAAAAAAGAAGAGAAGGAGAAGAAAUGGAUGAGAAGGAAGUGGAGGAGAAAUGAGAGGAGGAGGAAGG
rnacentral:lncRNA from 1 species